GGCCAAGGGUGGUGGAGCGUUUAGGAGUCUCAACAUGUAAAGGGUGGUUGGAGUUUCAAAGAGCUGAGAAAGAACUUGACGAGGGAUGGCAGAGAAGUACGAAGUUCAGGAAAGUGAUGUCGUGAAGCCAAAGGAGAGAGAUGUGAGAAGAGAAUGGCAACAUGUUGAAAGUCGCACGGAGGUCAAAUAAAAGGGAAGACACCUCCAUACAUUUAGGAAAAAGCUGGAGGCAGAAACAAGACUGUAGUGGGUUGGAGAGUGAAUGGGAGAGAGAUGAACAUAGUGUAUAUGCUGGCCUAAGAAAGGCAAGCAAGAGAUUGGGCAGGACCCAGAGGAGAUGUUGGAUUGUGGGAGGUGUUUGCAUUCCUUCAAAAGCAGACCUUGAAACAGAAUUGAGUGCAAGUGGUUUAUUUUGGAGAUGAUCCCAGGAAACACCAAUAUGGGUGGCGGGUGAAGAAAUGAGAUAUCAGUAAAGAAUAUAUCAGCAAGCAAGAUGAAUGUGGGAAUAUGGAGCUUAACUUUAUUGGGUAACCCUGGAAGACAGUAUGGACUGUGUAUUCAAAGUUAAUUCCCCAUUAACUUUGGGGAGCUGGGAUAUAUUUAUUCACCAAUUUUAGUCAUUGGUUGAGUUUCCGUUCCUUGGGGAUUGGGGAAGCAUUAAUUUCCCAGGCACCUUUAGCAGGCCAUGUGCAUGGGGAAAGGAGGCUCUGGCAGCCAGAUAAAGUCCUCACGUAAAAAGACAGGAGAUGGCAGUUGGAAAUUGGAUGAAAGUGAUGAAAAUGGAACUUGGAUGGAGCCAGAGGCCAUUAUCCUUAGCAAACUAACACAGGAACAGAAAACCAAAUGCCACAUGUUCUCACUUGUAAGUGGAAGCUAAAUGAUGAGAACACAUGGACGCAAAGAAGACAAGAAGAGACACUGAGGCCUACUUAAGGGUGGAGGGUGGGAGGAGGGAGAGGAUCAGAAAAAAUAACUACUGGGUACUGGGCUUUAGUCCCUGGGUGAUGAAAUAAUCUGUACAACAAAC